GCAAUGGGGGUUCAGGGGUAGGAUUCUGGUCUUCCAUGCAGGAGCCCCAGGUUUGAUUCCUGGCCAGUGCA
rnacentral:tRNA from 1 species